ensembl:lncRNA
CACACUAUCAAGGUUACCGAGUACUUGCCCUGCUCACUUUGCACAUAUUUAUUUUCUGUUAUCUUCACUCACACACUGAUCUCCUGCAGUUCAUCUCAACAACAAAUAGACACUUCAUAGACCAGCAUGGACUUCACAAAGACUCUGAAAAACAACAGGAAACGCAUUAUUGACUGGGACGAGGCUGGGAUAAAUCCUGACUGAAAGAUUUCAUGAAUGUCUUCAUUUCAUGACUGUCAGUCUGUAUAUGGUGUAACCUCAGUGACACCUCAAGCCUCUUUUCUGCUGCCUGCCCCAGCUCUAGAUUCUGC